rnacentral:rRNA from 1 species
GACGAACGCUGGCGGCGUGCCUAAUACAUGCAAGUUGAGCGCUGAAGGUUGGUACUUGUACCAACUGGAUGAGCAGCGAACGGGUGAGUAACGCGUGGGGAAUCUGCCUUUGAGCGGGGGACAACAUUUGGAAACGAAUGCUAAUACCGCAUAAAAACUUUAAACCAAAGCUUUAAGUUUGAAAGAUGCAAUUGCAUCACUCAAAGAUGAUCCCGCGUUGUAUUAGCUAGUUGGUGAGGUAAAGGCUCACCAAGGCGAUGAUACAUAGCCGACCUGAGAGGGUGAUCUGCCACAUUGGGACUGAGACACGGCCCAAACUCCUACGGGAGGCAGCAGUAGGGAAUCUUCGGCAAUGGACGAAAGUCUGACCGAGCAACGCCGCGUGAGUGAAGGAGGUUUUCGGAUCGUAAAACUCUGUUGGUAGAGAAGAACGUUGGUGAGAGUGGAAAGCUCAUCAAGUGACGGUAACUACCCAGAAAGGGACGGCUAACUACGUG